rnacentral:rRNA from 1 species
ACACUCCUACGGGAGGCAGCAGUGGGGAAUUUUACGCAAUGGGGGAAACCCUGACGUAGCGACACCGCGUGAGCGAAGAAGCCCUUUGGGGUGUAAAGCUCUGUCAGCUGGAACGAAAACAAUGACGGUACCAGCAGAGGAAGCAUCGGCUAACUACGUGCCAGCAGCCGCGGUAAGACGUAGGAUGCGAGCGUUGUCCGGAUUUAUUGGGCGUAAAGAGUUCGUAGGUGGUUUGUUAAGUUUGGUGUUAAAGAUCGGGGCUCAACCCUGGGACUGCACUGAAUACUGGCAGACUCGAGUGUGGUAGAGGCUAGUGGAAUUCCCAGUGUAGCGGUGAAAUGCGUAGAUAUUGGGAAGAACACCGGUGGCGUAGGCGACUAGCUGGGCCAUAACUGACGCUGAGGAACGAAAGCCAGGGGAGCGAAUGGGAUUAGAAACCCUGUAGUCCC